rnacentral:rRNA from 1 species
UACGUAGGUGGCAAGCGUUGUCCGGAUUUACUGGGCGUAAAGAGCGCGCAGGCGGUCGGAUAAGUCGAAUGUGAAAGCCCCCGGCUCAACUGGGGAGGGUCAUUCGAUACUGUUCGACUCGAAGGCAGGAGAGGGAAGUGGAAUUCCCGGUGUAGUGGUGAAAUGCGUAGAUAUCGGGAGGAACACCGAUGGCGAAGGCAGGUCUCUGGGCAUUAACUGACGCUGAGGAGCGAAAGCAUGGGGAGCGAACAGG